rnacentral:rRNA from 1 species
UACAGAGGGGGCAAGCGUUAUUCGGAAUUAUUGGGCGUAAAGGCGCGUAGGCGGCCAUUCAAGUGACGGGUGAAAGCCCUCGGCUUAACCGAGGAACUGCCUGUCAGACUGGAUGGCUUGAGACCGGGAGAGGUGAGUGGAAUUCCCAGUGUAGCGGUGAAAUGCGUAGAUAUUGGGAGGAACACCAGCGGCGAAGGCGGCGCUCUGGGUGGUGACUGACGCUGAGGCGCGAAAGCGUGGGGAGCAAACAGG